UACGAAGGGGGCUAGCGUUGCUCGGAAUCACUGGGCGUAAAGGGUGCGUAGGCGGGUUUUAAGUCAGGGGUGAAAUCCUGGAGCUCAACUCCAGAACUGCCUUUGAUACUGAAGAUCUCGAGUCCGGGAGAGGUGAGUGGAACUGCGAGUGUAGAGGUGAAAUUCGUAGAUAUUCGCAAGAACACCAGUGGCGAAGGCGGCUCACUGGCCCGGUACUGACGCUGAGGCACGAAAGCGUGGGGAGCAAACAGG
rnacentral:rRNA from 1 species